GACGAACGCUGGCGGCGUGCCUAAUACAUGCAAGUAGAACGCACAGUUUAUACCGUAGCUUGCUACACCAUAGACUGUGAGUUGCGAACGGGUGAGUAACGCGUAGGUAACCUGCCUGGUAGCGGGGGAUAACUAUUGGAAACGAUAGCUAAUACCCCAUAAUAUUAAUUAUUGCAUGAUAAUUAAUUGAAAGGUGCAAUUGCACCACUACCAGAUGGACCUGCGUUGUAUUAGCUAGUAGGUGAGGUAACGGCUCACCUAGGCGACGAUACAUAGCCGACCUGAGAGGGUGAUCGGCCACACUGGGACUGAGACACGGCCCAGACUCCUACGGGAGGCAGCAGUAGGGAAUCUUCGGCAAUGGACGAAAGUCUGACCGAGCAACGCCGCGUGAGUGAAGAAGGUUUUCGGAUCGUAAAGCUCUGUUGUAAGAGAAGAACGGGUGUGAGAGUGGAAAGUUCACACUGUGACGGUAUCUUACCAGAAAGGGACGGCUAACUACGUG
rnacentral:rRNA from 1 species